UACGAGUGGCCCAAACGUUAUUCGGAUUUACUGGGCUUAAAGAGUUCGUAGGCGGCGCAGAAAGUAGGGUGAAAGCCCUCGGCCUAACCGAGGAAUUGCGCUCUAAACUACUGUGCUUGAGGAAUCUAGAGGUGAGCGGAACUGAUGGUGGAGCGGUGAAAUGCGUUGAUAUCAUCAGGAACACCGGAGGCGAAGGCGGCUCACUGGGGAUUUUCUGACGCUGAGGAACGAAAGCCAGGGGAGCAAACGGG
rnacentral:rRNA from 1 species